AGCGGUGGCUGCGGACAUGGUUGAGACCUGCUGGCCAGCAUGCGGCUAGGUGGCAUCGAAGAUUCCCUUUGCCACGGACCUCAUGGAUAAGGGCAUGUCACUGAAGCGUACCGGAGAAACGGGGCAGAGCAGGAAGUCAGUGAAAGUGCAUAGCGAGCUAAGG